CGCCUCCGCCUCCUCCUCCUCUUGAGGUGAGGUCGUCCUCCAUUUCUCCACUUAAUCUCUCUUGUUGGGGUUCUAAAUGAUGAGCACUUCUGGGAAGGAUGCAUCCAAUUCGCUAGAUUGGGCUUUUCUUGGUGACAGCAAAGUUGUGGAUGAUGAGACCAUGAAUGCAAUACAGUUAUCCCUGUCUGAUGCAUUACUAUGGGUGCUGAAAGCAGUCGAUCUGACGCAUCCUUGCUGCUAUCUUAUGCUUCAAUUCCUAUUUCUUCUAGGUUUUGAUUUCCGUCUCUGCUCUUUGGUUUCUGGUAUAAGAGUCUUCCACAGAUUGUUGUGGACGGGAUUCAAAUCCAGUUCAUGUCUUUCUACUGUAUCAUAGUGAUGCAUUAGAUGCCUGUUGCCGAUGAUGCCAACCUUCAUUACCGAAAGCAAGUUCUUCCACUUGAACCGUGUGGAAAAUUUUAAGAA